GGACGCUCACGUUCCCACCCCAGUCCUGGCCAGCACCCCCUCUCUCCUGGACCACAGCUUCAACCCAGAGUUGGAUUCCCUUUUUCUUCCCACCUACGCCCCCCACUUCCCGCAAGCCCUUAUGGCCUCUAGGUCCCCUUGCUUGCCCCGUCUGUGCCCCACCGCCGCAUCCCCCAGCACCUCGGACAGCGCCGGGCGAGCAGCCGCGGUCCCCGGCUGGGCUUGGGAGCCAGCCCUCGGGAGUGCCUGCGGCGUGGGGCGGGGCCUGCUGGCCGCGCUUCCGUCUCGGCGGUGCGCGUUCCGCGCGCUGGAACUUGGGCCUCCGGGGCCACGGAGCACCCCCCCUGCCCCCGAGCCGGCCGGCCGCGCUUCCUCCGGGGCCCCUCUGGUCCCGGUCCGCCCCKCGCGCGGCGGCCAGCUGGAGCUGUGAGCGUGGGGCGUGUCCCCCGCAUCAAGCCAGGGACCCGUUCCGCAGGCGCGCCUUGAACGAGGCCGGUACCGUUUGGCCAGCGACACUUGGUGGCCACCGUGAAAGGAGGGAGGCUGGAGGAGUGGUGGGGAAAGCUCCGCGAAGGCGCGUCCUGGAAUGUCGGGACAGCGCCUUCUCCGUGCAGCCCACCGGGAUCGCCGAGCGUCUGCCCCUGUCGCCUUCUCCUGCACACCAGUCGGGGCGAAAGGGAUGCUCCUGCUGUUGCCGCCGGAAGAGACCCACCCUCCUGGACCUUGCCUGGACACAGUCUGUCGGCCAGGCAGCUAGSCGCUGCCUGCCUCCUGCGCAGUCCUGUGUCCCUUCGGAGCGCACCUGGGCUCUAAGCACAGCCCGGGGGGUGCCUUCUGAGACCCGCAGGACCGGGAAGUGUACAUCCCAGCCAAUGGGCUCUGGCACCGGCUCUAACCUUGUCUCCCGCCUCACCUGCCCAGGGGGACCGGCCAGACUCCGUCAGGCAGCCAGCAUCCCAGAACACGGUACUUACCUCUCCAGCCCCCUUCUUCGUCCCUCAGGCUCGAGCGCCAACCCUGCUGCCUCCCCUCACUCAGCCAGCAGCCUCCAUGGGCUCUGCCAACAGCCCGCCCUUGCCUGCUGCCCUACUGGGUGGGUGGGAGGUACCCCACCACACCGCAGACCUCAGGGAGGAAAGUUGAAGUCACAUYCUUAAAAAGCACGUUUUUAACAAAUUUCUUUUUCCCCAAAGCAUUUGUUUAUGGUCUUUAAAGAGAUUUUAGAAAAUGUAAAAAGAAAAGAAAGAAAAAGAAUAAUGGAAGCCAGGAAACGUUUUUCCUUCCUGUCAGUAAUUAUGAAGAAGUGUUUGCCUAUAUUUUCAAUCAGUUCUUGGUUUUAAAAGGAACUCAAUGCUUAACUCAUCCCUAAAAUAACCUUCCUGACCUGAGGUCUCAGAUUUGCCAGGAUCUGUCCUGGAGCCCUUGUGAGGCGCUCCAGGGGGAUGAGGCCCAGUGAGGCCCUACACACAGCUGUGUGCUGAGCC
rnacentral:lncRNA from 1 species